ensembl:snRNA U6 U6 spliceosomal RNA
GUGCUUGCUUGGACAGCACAUAUACUAAAAAACUAAAACAAUACAGAGGAGAUUAGCAUGGCCCUGGCCCCAGGAUGGCGUGCAAAUUCAUGAGUGUUCCAUAUUUUC